CAUGAUACACAAUGAUUCUUACACAAUUAAUGGGUCUAAGUGAUGAUGAUGAUGCUAUGACGCCAGGGUUACAUUGUGAUGAUACACAUAAGUGACAGUAUUAGUUAGAGGGACGGUAUUUCGAUGCAGACACGAACGAAUCAUUUAACUGGCAGUUUCUUCUAUUCGAAUUCUCUACAAUGUAGUCUCCACUAGUUUACCUUUUCAAUACUCAAACAGAUUUUGCAAAUAGUACAUACACACCUCCUCAGAACUACAGGGGCAAUCGAAGGAUCAAGCCUUUAUUUCAGUUUUCAUCUGUGGCGUCGGGGCUCCGUGCAACAUGGAGAAAUCAACAUUGGAGCUUAAACCUGGUAACUGACGUGCUCAGCAUGACAAGACUAUGUGAUCCCAUCCUCUCCGCGCUCCUCUUCUCAUCUUCCCCUUCUGUCUGCAUGAACUCCUCUUUGUACGAUGCAUUUUCGAUCUAUCAAACUCUACAGGGGCAGUUGUGACUCUGCAGAACAUUCGUCGAGAUGGCGGCGGGUGACAAUGAGGAUUGAAGGCAGGGUUAGAUCAACGAGGUGAAGCAGAUUGGCUGUGUUGAGUCAAGUUAUUUGUGCACAUUCAGAUUGGGUGGUUUUUCGAGGGAGGAAAGCGAGCUGCGAGGGAAUUCAUAGCUGUUUUAGGAUUGCAGAUUGAGAGGAGUUGCUUGCAAAAUUAUUCUUAAUAUUCAGUGGCGCAAUAAGAUAUUGUCAGGCCAGAACCCCACAACUAUUAUGUUAUAUGGUUUAGCAAUAGAUCUGGACAAAUUAGGACGGAAAUCCUGUAGCAGCUUCAAGAAUCUGUUUAAAUAUAAGCGUUGAAAUUACUAGAUGACCAAUUCCUCAACUGUCCAAUGUAAGAAUAGUCCUGGUCUUUCAACUGUUCACCAGGUGAAUGACUACUACAUAUGAAUUGUAUUGCCAAUUACGGUAAGUG